rnacentral:lncRNA from 10 species
GGUGUCUUUACUUCAGAAAGAAUGAUAUAUUUAGCAAAUGUUACAGAUAUAGGAGGUUUUAAGUGGGACUAAAUGCAGCAAUUAAUGCUAAUGAGUCUGCUGUUAGCAUGUAAUAUUCUUGGUGUUAUAAUCAUGCAUCACUGAAUGCGAAGCCUCAGUUUGUGCAACAGAUGCCGAUCUUAAUGGCUAUAUUCUCUUCCCAUGGAUAAGCUAGCUUUAGUUAAAUGAAUCAUUAAGAAUAACCAUUUAAAAUGUUAAUGAAAACAGUGAUUAUAACCACCAAGAUUUUUUUUUUAACUUCUGGCUCUAUUACUUUUUAUUUUCGAAAGGACUUUGGGAAGGUAAGAAACUUAUUGCCUGUGUAUGUUGUUUUAAACAGAGAAGGCCGAUACAGUUUCUGUUCACAGCAGCCCUGAGGCCGCAUGCCUGUAUUAUUAACACCAACCGUACUUGGAGACUAACUCUCUUUUGUUCUCAUUUGUCAUUUCUUUUAAAUAUUCAUUUAGGGUAUAAGACAGAAUUGGGUAAGUAGGAUCCUUGACAGUCCAACUAGUUGGUAAACAAAUAUUUUGUCUUCCUGAAAGUAUCAUUAUACUAUCGCAAAUUAAGACUGAAAAGGAAAAAAAUACCAGGAUGUUGAUAUUUAAGAAUAAAUACUUUAUCUUUUCAGAACAACAAUAAGAAGGCUGGUUUAGGCUUUAUCGCUGGAAAAUGGAGUUUGUGAAACAAAGAAGUAAUAGAUGCAUAGCAAGAGCUCAGUGUCCUUCCACAUUGUGUCACCGGUUGUACCCUGAGACAGAUUCUCCAAGUCUUAGAACAUGGAUAUGCAGUGAGAGUGAGGUUUACGUAGAAAAGUCUUUGUGUCUUGGGAGUGCCAUGUGUAUUGAAUGUCUAUGACUCAUGUCUCCCCUUGACUCACUUCUUGGCUGGGCUACAUGACUCAUCAGGCCUGGUAGGUUCAGGGCAGUGUAGCUGGUGGGGAAGGGCUAAGUGAAGAGGGGCUGUCUAGACCUGGGGAGCAUGGUUAUAAUGAGCUUUUUCAAACGUACAACUCAACUCUCUUGCACCUAGGAAGUAUCUUCAUCCAGAAGGAGUUCUCAGUCCUUUUUCUGGUCUGCAACACUCACUCGAAGGUCUGCAGCUUCACUCCCGAAGCCAGCGAGACCACGAGCCCACCGGGAGGAAGGAACAACUCCAGACGCGCCGCCUUAAGAGCUGUAACACUCACCGCGAAGGUCUGCAGCUUCACUCCUGAGCCAGCGAGACCACGAACCCACCAGAAAGAAACUCAGAACACAUCCGAACAUCAGAAGAAACAAACUCCAGACGCACCACCUUAAGAGCUGUAACACUCACCCGUGAGUGUCCCAGGCUUCAUUCUUGAAGUCAGUGAGACCAAGAACCCACCAAUUCCGGACACACAAGGGUUAAUACAAUAAAGAUUUCUGAAUGAGGUCUGUGGUUGCAGCAGCUGAGGUAGUGCUAUAGCACUUAUUUUUCAGUGACAAUUGCCUGGAAGCUUCUGAUGACUCUUACUUAGGGCUGCCCAGGGUUGGAACUGCACUAUUUCUCUUAACCUGACCUGCAUCCUCUCCCACUUCCUGAGUUUCUGAUCAAAGUCCAUCUCUGAUGUUUGUUCUGACUAGUAGAAACAUCUCUUUUGGGCAGGCAGAAACUGAGACAGAGGUUUUUUGUUUGUCUGUUUUUGAAAUAGGGGGUCUUUGCUGUAAGAUUAAUUCCUAAUUUGACCUAGGAAACCAGGCAGGGGCAGGGUGAGCAGGUAAAACGAUAAAGAUAGUAAGUAAAGAUAACAAGGCUAAGUCAAAUUUGUAUACUUCCUGUGAUGGUUAAUACUGAGUGUCAACUUGAUUGGAUUGAAAGAUACAGAAUAUUGAUCUGGGUGUGUCUGUGAGGGUGUUGCCAAAGGAGAUUAACAUGUGAGUCAGUGGGCUGGGAAAGGCAGACCCACCCUUUAUCUGAGUGGGCACAAUCUAAUCAGCUACCAGUGCAGCUAGAAUAUAAGCAGGCAGAAAAAUGUGAAAAGAGAGACUGGCCUAGCCUCCCAGCCUACCUCUUUCUCUCAUGCUGGAUGCUUCCUGACCUUGAACAUCAGACUCCAAGUUCUUCAGUUUUGGAACUUGGACUGGCUCUCCUUGCUCCUCAGCCUGCAGUUGGCCUGUUGUGGGACCUUGUGAUCGUGUCCUGCAGAGCAAAAGAGGAGAGAGAAAAAGAGAAUGAGUUACAUGGGCCCACUGUAUGUUAUAGCUGACUGCUGAUGGUAUCAGAGAUUUUAACACUGCAGUCAACUGCAGACAAAGCCGCAAUCUUGUGACUUCACAGAGCCUCAUGGGCUUUUGAGUUGACCAACUUGAGAAAAAUUUCUGACUUGAUGCAUGAAAUGAAACGAAGGCAGGUGACACAUAAAGGAAAUGACAAGACACGAUUGAAAACUAUUGACCCUCAAGUUAUCACAAAUGGUUAUGAAAUGGAAAUGGAAUGGGAAGGAGUAUGAAAAAAUAAGCUGAAUACUGACAAACCUAAGAUCAACAAUCAGGUCGUAAAUGGGAGUUGGAGCCGGAUGAUCAAAAAGAACUUUAGAAAAAUGGGAAUAAAAGCAAGAGCUGAUGAGUUUGAAAUGAAAGCCCAUCUGGGAGAGCUCUUCUAAUGAACUCAGCCUACUCAAACUGUACAAAGAAAGCUGAAGAAUGAUUGCAGCUGCAAUCUCCAACCUACAUAAAGCACUAACGCUGGUAAGGUGAUGAAAGUGAAGGGAGGUAACUGGUAUCUGGAUUUGGAAGAGAGAAGUCAAAGGCCAUCACCCCCUUGUACUACUGCAUUCACCAUGUAAGUUCCUUCGGAAAUUUCACAGCCAAUCUGAAUUAAAGAGACAGCUGCAGAUGCUUCAGGAUGAAGGUCACACUCUGAAUUCUACGAAGAGCCCUAUGAUUCAAAAGUACCAUCUCUUUAGCCUCAGAGCAGUUGUAUACCACCUUCUCACUUGCUCUGUCCCUGGGCUAGUAUGGCUUUGAAAUUAUGUUAAAGAAGAGGCAUUUUCCCUCACAAAGACUCCCAAAAUAUGACUAUUAAGUGAAAGAACAGGUAGAGGGAGGGAAAGAGCUGAAUCUAAGUGGAGAUUAAUAAAGUGUUGUUUUGAAAUUGUUCCUUUAUUUUUCCUGGGUUAAUUAUCGCCAUUUAGUCACGACUUCCUGACACAGCACCAGAAAUUUUGUUGAAAUCUUAAUAUUCUGCAGGAAACUGACCUGACUACCAGCAGGAAUUAUAUUGACUAAUUAAUAAUGUCCAGUCUCCCUCAAGGAUAAGUCACCUCUGUCUGGCUCUAUCAUGGCCACUCUUAGAAUGAUGGUGAUGGUCCACUGAUUGUCACAUCCAAUGAAUUUAUCUGAAGUAUUUGUCCUAUGUAACCUCUUCAAAGCUUUCAGCGCCAGUCACCACCCAGUUUUCAUUUUCUUGUUUCUCUUCCUAACUCUCUCACAAUUUCUCAAUUUCCAUAAUUGUCUCCUCUUUCUCCAUGCACACUUUUAUACAUUGUUUUUCUCCAGGAUUGUACUUUUCUCCUGAUCUCACAGAGCACUCCUAAUACAGUGUUGGUUUUAUUUACAUUUAAUAUAAUUGAAAUCUGAAAUGGUAUACUCAGCUGCUCCAUGUAGAUAUUUGAGGGUACCUCAAAUUCAACAUGUCCUGAGCUGAAACUCAUCAUCUUCCACUUUACUUUGGUUCUUCUUCUAAAUUCCCUGUUAUCAGUUAAUGGAACUCUAAUUCAUCUAUAAAUUUAAGCUAGUAUCCACAGAAUUAUUAUUUUUGGGGGGGUGGGGGGUGGGGUACAGAGUCUCACUCUGUUGCUCAGGCUGGCUUGCAAUGGCACAAUCUUGGCUCACUGUAACCUCUGCCUCCCAGGUUCAAGCAAUCCUCCCAGCUCAGUCUCCUGAGUAGCUGGGAAUACAGGUGCAUGCCACCACACCUGGCUAAUUUUUGCAUUUUUAGGAGACACGGUUUCAACAUGUUGGCUAGGCUGGUCUCAAACUCCUGACCUCAAGUGAUCUGCUUGCCUCAGCCUCCCAAAGUGCUGGGAUUACAAACGUAAGCCACCACCCCCAGCCAAAGUUAUUCUUAUUUCCUUCUUUUUCUUCAUGUGUCUUAUGUAGUCAUAUAUUAUUUUACAUUUUUUCUAAUUUUUAAAAAAUUAUUUAAACAAAUUUUUAGCACACACCACCUUUGUUAUUCUCAUAAAUUGACCUCUACUCUCCAUCGUCACUUCCACUGCCUUUGUUCAGUGCCUUGUCAUUUGUUACCAGCAUCACUACGUAGAUUUCCAACUGGUGUUUUGGUCUGCGAUAUUGUAUCCCCUUACCCACAGCUAUUCCAUCUGUCUUUCAUAGUGAACAGAAUGUACAUACAUAAAGUUGAUCAUGUACUCAUCUUAUUUAAAUGUUCGUGGUCUUUUUACCUGUAAAAAUCCAAAUAGAUUAGUAAAACAUCAGUUCACUUAACCUAGCUUUCCAACCCCGAUCUCUUGACAUUACACUCCUUUUGCUAUGAAUUUUAUGCUUUAUUCAGACUUCAAUCUCACCCUUUCUAGAUCUGGUUUUUCCUUUUUAUUUAAAAUGUCUUGUUUGGCAAGCUCCUGCUUACUAUACAAAAUCUAUCUCAGAUGUGCCCUUCUCUGUGAUUCAUUCUCUCCAAUUUCCCUAGUUGAUUCUCAGCUUAUGCUAGCAUUUUAAGUCUUUGUUUUUCUGCUUUUCAUCACUAUUUUAAGAGUGGGCCCAAACCAUGUCUUCUCAACUUUUGCAUCUCUAUUGCCUAUCAAAGUUCCUUACACAAAGAAGUUUCUAGAUAAUUACUCAAUGGAUGAAUGAAUACAUGGGAGUCUUUUGCCUCUCAUCUCACAUUUAUAAGAGUGUCCCCACUCUGAUGUACCUUGAAGGUGGAAGAAACUUACUAUUCCAAGUGGUGUUGAAAGCGGAGAAGUUGUGACAGGACAAGAAGUGUUUUUCUAAUCUAAACCAGGUAUCUUAUUUCCCUAUAUUUGCUUCUAUCAUUUUCUCUACUCCUCUAGGUCUAGAAAAAUGAUGAUAUCUAUGAUACAUCUACGUUAUACUAUAAUAGAUAUGUGAAACUAAAUUUUUUGUCACUCUUUUAAAUUGUUUUAAAUUGACAUGUAAUAAUUGUGCAUAUUCAUUACAUGUGAUGUUUCAAUACAUAUAAUGUAUAGUGAUCAGAUCAGGGCAAUCAACAUAUACAUCAUCUCAAACAUUUGUCAUUUCUUUGUGUUGAGAAGGUUCAAUAACCUACUUUUAGCUAUUUGAAAUUAUAUAUUAUUGUUAACUCUAGUCAUCCUAUCUUGGUACAGAAUGCAUUAGAACUUAUUUCCCUUAUCUAGCUGUAGUUUUGUAUUCUUUAACAAAUCUCUUAUCAUCCAAACAGUAAAUUAAAAAAUAAAUACAAUAUGCAGGGGAAACUGCAUAACUCAAAUUCUAAAAAUAUGCUUAAGAGUGAAAACAAAAACUGAUUUCGAAUAUAUUGAUGCCCUUUCUGUAUUUGGUAGACUUAAAUAUGAACAUUUGUAUUAUCUUUUGUUAGUGUCUCUUGACUUAGAGGCUUAUAUUUAAGGAUCCCAAUAAAUAUUUUUUAAUCCAUACUCAAUGUCAUACUGAGGACUAACCACCUAUGAGUUUAUAGAGGGAUUGUGAUUAGAUCAUAAUCAGUUUUCUCACUGAUCUAUUGAAGCAGGUUAAUUUGGUCUCACAGAACUUUAAAAUUUUUUCUUUCUCUACUUCAUUUCACUGUGAAAUUAGCAAUUAUUUUUUCCUGUAAGGUAAUAAUAUGAUCAAGAAGAAAAACAGGAAGGCUGAUAAAGAGAUAUGUACAGUAGAAUUUUCUCCACUGAUCCUUUGUCUGGAAGGCAACUAAAAUUUAGGCAGUCCAGAUUCUUUCAGUCAACAGGAGGCACUGUAGUUAUUCAGAUAAAACUAUGUUUCAUUCCUUAAUUUUGGUAAAUACCAUCCUAUAUUUAUUUUCUUGGAUUAUUAUAAAACACAAUCUCAGAAUUCUGUAUAUCACAUCUGAAUCUGCAAUCUGAAUUAAGCAAAAGAAAAAACUUAGAAUGAGAUUAAUUUUAUUUGUCUAACUGACUGGGCUAAGUGGUGCUUAGACAGUUGUUUAAACAUUAUUCCUGGAUGUGUCUGUGAGGGUGUUUCUGGAUGAGAUUAACAUUUGAAUUGGUAGACUGAGAAAGCAGAUUGAUCUUCCCAAAUGUGGGUAGGCCUCACCUAAUCCAUUGAAGGCCUGAAUAGAAUAAAAGGCUAAGUAAGAAAGAAUUAUCUCUCAUUACCUGCCUUCAAGCUAGGACAUUAGUUUUCUCCUGCCUUCACACUUGGACUUGGACUGAAAUUACUUUCACACUAUCAGCUUUCCUGAGUCUUCAGCUUAUUGGCUGUAGAUUUUGAGACUUCUCAGCUUCCAUAAUCAUGUGAGCCAUUUUAAAAUUUUAUCUAUCUAUCUAUCUAUCUGUCUGUCUGUCUGUCUAUCUUCUAUGGGUUUUGUUUCUCUGAAGAAAUCAGACUAAUACAGUAAGUUUUAACAAAAUAUUUUAAGUAAGCUGAGCUUAGCUCAAUCAAAUGAAUAAUAAUACAUUAUUGUCUUUUAUACCUUGCUCUUUAUCACACUCUAAGAAGAUAUUUCUUAAAGUCCUUAUUCUCUUAUCCUCAAUCACAGUAUUACCCACCCCCCCAAAAAAAACUUUACUAAAGGAAGUUGCUGCUGUAGCUCAUCAACAUAUGUCCUUAUAUUUAAAGAAUAUUGGUGUGUAUAGCUUUAGUCAGAGGUGGAUUAUCUAGUUUCUUUACUAUAUUAAUCAUUGUAUUCUGUCCUGAGACUAGAAUAUACUGAUAUAAUAGACAGUGUAGACUGGGCACAGUGGCUCACACCUAUAAUCCCAGCAUUUUGGGAGGCCCAGGUGGGCAGAUCACUUGAGGCCAGGAAUUUGAGACCAGCCUGGGCAACAUGGCAAAACCCCUGUCUGUACUAAAAAUACAAAAAUUAGCCAGGCAUAGUGUCACAUGAUUAUAGUCCCUGAUACUUAGAGAUUGAGAUACAGAAUCGCUUGAACCUGGGAGGCAGAGGUUGCAGUGAGCUGAGAUUAUGCCACUGCACUCCAGCCUGGGUGACAGAGUGAGACUCCUUCUCAAAAAAAAAAAAAAAAAAAAAAAAGAAAGACAGUGUACAUAUCAUAUAUUUUUGUUCAUGUGUUCUUUCUGUGUCACUUCCUCUCAUUCCAUCUUUUUUUUUUUUUUUUGGCUAUAUUCUUUGCUUUGAGGACAUGAGUCAAUGUAAGAAAAUGGCUUAUUUAUAUAUCCUUCCCUUUUUGCUCUUAUGCAGUGUGAGUCCCUUAAAGUCCCUUAAUCUUUAUGAACAUUCUUCUGUCUAAAUAAGACCUUGUGCCAUGUCACACGAUGCUUCACAUUAAAAUUAUACCUCUGCUAGACUGUAAAAUUAAGGAAGUCAGAGUCCCUAAUUUAUUUUUUCUAAGUGUAUCAGUGCAGUAAUGAUUUGAGUGCACAAAAAUCCUACGGGUAUUCAAUAAAAAAUUCUGUAACAAUAAAGAUAAUUUCAAAAAUAAAAUUUCUGAUUUAUCAUUGUACCUUUGUAUAAUACCUGAAUCACAGAAUACUGUGACAGAGGGUAAGAAAAUAGGAACUUUAUGAAAUAUGCCCUGAGAGGACAGAAUCAGAGUGGAAGUGAUCAAAGAAUGCAUUGUUUAUUAAGUAGAAAGCUUUCUCUAAGUGAGCCCACGUAGAUUUCUUUCCCCAUC